UAUCAUCAUCAUCAUCAUUGUUUUAACAUCUACUUUUCAAUAAUUGCAUGGAUCAGACAGAGUUUUAAUGAGACAGAUUUUCCUACAGCUGUAUUCCCCACCUGUUUCCAAGCAAGAUUUCCAAGACUUCCAUAACAUGUUCAUUUGACAGAAGUCAUGAAAUAUAACACAAAAUAUGAACAAGAAAUGUUGUAAGGCACCACUUCUGAAAGAAUGCAAAAGAAUGAACAAAGAAGAACCAACCCCCAGUACUUCAUUUAUUGUUCCCAAAAAGAUGAAAGGUGAAAACAUUAUUGCAGUGAUGUUUUGAAAUAGGCACAAUGGUUUCAACAAGCAGAGAUGACAGUGAAACACUUCCAAGGAACCAAGGAAGCAAGCAUAUCUACACUAUAUCAUCCAUUGUUCCAACGAUACCUCUGACAACCUUGUGUCACCACAAGAUCUCAACUCAUGAACAGUAUUGCUCAGGGCUGCAGAGAUAAGGUAGUAUGUUCCAGUU